rnacentral:rRNA from 1 species
UACGAAGGGGGGCUAGCGUUGCUCGGAUUGACUGGGCGUAAAGGGCGCGUAGGCGGUUCGUACAGUCAGACGUGAAAUUCCUGGGCUCAACCUGGGGGCUGCGUUUGAUACGUGCGGACUUGAGUGCGGAAGAGGAUCGUGGAAUUCUCGGUGUAGAGGUGAAAUUCGUAGAUAUCGAGAGGAACACCCGUGGCGAAAGCGGCUCUCUGGAACGGUACUGACGCUGAGACGCGAAAGCGUGGGAGCGAACAGG